GAGGUUUUAGCUUAAUAAAAGUAACUGAUUUGCAUUCAGUAGAUGUAAGGUGUAAUCUUACAGACCUUA
rnacentral:tRNA from 1 species